UACAGAGGUCUCAAGCGUUGUUCGGAUUCAUUGGGCGUAAAGCGCGCGUAGGCGGCUACUUAAGUCGGAUGUGAAAGCCCCUGGCUCAACUGGGGAAGUGCACCCGAAACUGAGUAGCUAGAGUGCAAAAGAGGGUCGCGGAAUUCCCGGUGUAGAGGUGAAAUUCGUAGAUAUCGGGAGGAACACCGGUGGCGAAGGCGGCGACCUGGGUUGACACUGACGCUGAGGCGCGAAAGCGUGGGGAGCAAACAGG
rnacentral:rRNA from 1 species